rnacentral:rRNA from 1 species
CAGAGACUGCAAGCGUUAUUCGGAUUCACUGGGCGUAAAGGGUGCGCAGGCGGCCAAGUGUGUGAGGCGUGAAAGCCCGGGGCUUAACCCCGGAAUUGCACCUCAAACUACAUGGCUAGAGCAUUGGAGAGGGUAGCAGAAUUCAUGGUGUAGCAGUGAAAUGCGUAGAUAUCAUGAGGAAUACCAGAGGCGAAGGCGGCUACCUGGACAAUUGCUGACGCUCAGGCACGAAAGCGUGGGGAGCAAAAGGGAUUAGAUACCCCUGUAGUCCACGCCCUAAACGGUGCACACUAGGUCUUGGCGGAUUCGACCCCACCAGGGCCCAAGCUAACGCGUUAAGUGUGCCGCCUGAGGACUACGGCCGCAAGGCUA